GUACACGCUGUGACUAGCAUAUCAAUAAGCGGAGGAAAAGAAACUAACAAGGAUUCCCCUAGUAACGGCGAGUGAAGCGGGAAGAGCUCAAAUUUGAAAUCUUAAAGGGUUUCCCUUUACGAAUUGUAGUUUAAAGAAGUGUUUUCUGUUGAGGUUUUGGUAAAAGUUCUUUGGAAUAGGACAUCAUAGAGGGUGAGAAUCCCGUAUUUGACCUUUACUUUCAACUUUGUGAUACACUUUCAAAGAGUCGGAUUGUUUGGGAAUGCAGUCCAAAAUGGGUGGUAAAUUUCAUCUAAAGCUAAAUAUUGGCGAGAGACCGAUAGCGAACAAGUACCGUGAGGGAAAGAUGAAAAGAACUUUGAAAAGAGAGUUAAACAGUACGUGAAAUUGUCAAAAGGGAAGCGUUUGACACCAGUGUUGUUUUUCUGGAAAUCAAUUAAAGAACUGUUUAUGCUAAGCUGUUUAGACUUUAUCAGCUAUCUGUUUAGUUUUGAGCUUUUCUUUAAUGCACUUUUCAGUUAACAAGUCAACAUCAAUUUCUUUUGCUGUAAAAAAGCUUGAGGAAGGUGGCUUGAGAUUCGUCUUAAGUGUUUAUAGCCUCUUGCCUAUGCAGUCGGAGAGAUUGAGGUCUGCAGCGUAGAUCCUUCGGGGCUAAAUGCAUUUGUGCUAAGUUAUAGCAUUUUAUAGACAACUUGUUGACUAUGAUUUGUCUUGUAGCUUACUCGCUUAUGUUAUUUUACCUACGCUUAGGAUGUUGAGUCGUAGAGCACGCAG
rnacentral:rRNA from 1 species